UUCAUCUUCUAUCUUGUUCAUCUUCAUUUUCAACAACCAGAAAAACUCACAUCCACAACCCAAAAACCAAAAAAAUUAAAAAACAGAUCUGAGAAAUCAAACAAAAAUUAAACAAUAUGAAAUUGACGUUGCCCUUGCCCUGUGUGAAUUGCAUUCUUUCCCCAAACAAAUUUGUUUUCCAUGAUGAGUCUAGAAGUAACUUCUGAGCCUUGACAUUGGAAUUGUUGUUUGGUGGUGUGUUGAACAACAAACCUUCAAACAUGCCUCGUUCCCAAUCCAAUUUUGGAUCUGCCAAUCUCAAUUGCCUUACCCAAAAUCAGGACAAGUUUUGCAACUAGACUUGAACGAUUUCUUCCUCGCUGUUAAUUUCUCGGUGGUGGUGAUACCAACUGCGUGUUAAUUUCUG
rnacentral:lncRNA from 1 species